rnacentral:rRNA from 1 species
CCGGCGCACGGGUGAGUAACACGUAUCCAACCUGCCGUCUACUCUUGGACAGCCUUCCGAAAGGAAGAUUAAUACAAGAUGGCAUCAUGAGUCCGCAUGUUCACAUGAUUAAAGGUAUUCCGGUAGACGAUGGGGAUGCGUUCCAUUAGAUAGUAGGCGGGGUAACGGCCCACCUAGUCUUCGAUGGAUAGGGGUUCUGAGAGGAAGGUCCCCCACAUUGGAACUGAGACACGGUCCAA